rnacentral:rRNA from 1 species
AACGAACGCUGGCGGCAUGCCUAACACAUGCAAGUCGAACGAGACCUUCGGGUCUAGUGGCGCACGGGUGCGUAACGCGUGGGAAUCUGCCCUUGGGUUCGGAAUAACAGUUAGAAAUGACUGCUAAUACCGGAUAAUGUCUUCGGACCAAAGAUUUAUCGCCCAGGGAUGAGCCCGCGUAGGAUUAGCUAGUUGGUGAGGUAAAGGCUCACCAAGGCGACGAUCCUUAGCUGGUCUGAGAGGAUGAUCAGCCACACUGGGACUGAGACACGGCCCAGACUCCUACGGGAGGCAGCAGUGGGGAAUAUUGGACAAUGGGCGAAAGCCUGAUCCAGCAAUGCCGCGUGAGUGAUGAAGGCCUUAGGGUUGUAAAGCUCUUUUACCCGGGAUGAUAAUGACAGUACCGGGAGAAUAAGCCCCGGCUAACUCCGUGCCAGCAGCCGCGGU